GUGCAACCACAAUAUCCUAGGAGCAGCAAUCAGCACCCAGUCAGUCUUUGUCUGGAGCUGUGAAUAGACCCUCAAGAAGAAAUGGAAAAAACCCAGUCAAACACUUAAAGGCUAGACUCCCUACGGACUGAGGAACUGAGCUACUGUCUGCGCCUUUGUGGUCAGGGGACUGUGCAGGGAAUGCAAACUCUAGUCCCCUAGAGGAAGGCACUGCAUGCCCUGUGCUCCAGGGCAAACAGAAGGAGCAGGACUGCUACCACCAGUUUUACCUGAGAGCACCAUGGCUUAAUUUACUGGCCAGUUCCAGUAAAAGGUGUGGGCCUGGAGGCUUUUCCAUCCUGAGGCUCUGGUCCCUCCCUGUAAAGCACAGAGAGUCUGGGUGCCUCUGCCCGUGAAUCUCGUCAAGCUACAGCACACCGGACCAUGAGCCACCACAACACGAAGCUUAAAGUUUCUGUGGAACUAGCCUGAAUCUUGGCAGUAUUCUUAGUAAUGUCAGAGGAAAUAUUGAAAUACAGCCAAGAAUAAAUAAAGAUGCAAUUUGCAUUGCUUUUGAAUGCAUUUAUAUCACUCUUACACAGUAACACAGAAUAUAUUCAGCAGUGGGCACCGGGAGAUACUGCCAGACUACAGAGAACCUAAAGAACAGCAGGAAAGGGAACCUGUGUGUAUGACUUUUGAGGAAUUUUUAGAAGAACUAAGCAGAAACUAAGUAGAUAUAUGACCACGGUCUACAAAUAUUUGAAAGGUAUAAACGCUGUACUAGGAAAGGAAUUAUUUGUCAUAAACAUUAAGGAAGCAACGUGAAAAAUGGGUGAAUAUCUGGGCACUGUGAGUUCUUCUAGCUUGUGAAGUAUAAACUUGUAUAAACACUAAAACAUUUACAAUAAGGCAUA